AUUGAACGCUGGCGGCAGGCCUAACACAUGCAAGUCGAACGAGUGGCGGACGGGUGAGUAAUGUAUGGGAAACUGCCUGAUGGAGGGGGAUCACUACUGGAAACGGUAGCUAAUACCGCAUACCAUCAGAUGUGCCCAGAUGGGAUGAGCUAGUUGGUGGGGUAAAGGCUCACCAAGGCGACGAUCCCUAGCUGGUCUGAGAGGAUGAACAGCCACACUGGAACUGAGACACGGUCCAGACGCCUACGGGAGGCAGCAGUGGGGAAUAUUGCACAAUGGGCGCAAGCCUGAUGCAGCCAUGCCGCGUGUAUGAAGAAGGCCUUCGGGUUGUAAAGUACUUUCAGCGGGGAGGCGUUACCCGCAGAAGAAGCACCGGCUAACUCCGUGCCAGCAGCCGCGGUAAUAC
rnacentral:rRNA from 1 species